GAUGAACGCUGGCGGCGUGCCUAACACAUGCAAGUCGAGCGAACAGACGAGGAGCUUGCUCCUCUGACGUUAGCGGCGGACGGGUGAGUAACACGUGGAUAACCUACCUAUAAGACUGGGAUAACUUCGGGAAACCGGAGCUAAUACCGGAUAAUAUAUUGAACCGCAUGGUUCAAUCGUGAAAGACGGUUUUGCUGUCACUAAAAGCUUGACACGGCCCGCAUCAGCUAGUUGGCAAGGUAACGGCUUACCAACGCGACGAUGCGAACCCGACCUGAGAGGGAGAUCGGACACACGGGAACUGAGACACGGUCCAGACUCCGACGGGAGGCAGCAGUAGGGAAUCUUCCGCAAUGGGCGAGAGCCUGACGGAGCAACGCCGGGUGAGUGAUGAAGGUCUUAGGAUCGUAAAACUCUGUUAUUAGGGAAGAACAAAUGUGUAAGUAACUAUGCACGUCUUGACGGUACCGGAUCAGAAAGCCACGGCUAACUACGUG
rnacentral:rRNA from 1 species